rnacentral:rRNA from 1 species
UACGGAGGGUGCAAGCGUUAUCCGGAUUCACUGGGUUUAAAGGGUGCGUAGGUGGGUCUGUAAGUCAGUGGUGAAAUCUCCGUGCUUAACAUGGAAACUGCCAUUGAUACUAUAGGUCUUGAAUUUUCUGGAGGUCAGUGGAAUAUGUCAUGUAGCGGUGAAAUGCUUAGAUAUGACAUAGAACACCAAUUGCGAAGGCAGCUGGCUACAGGGAUAUUGACACUGAGGCACGAAAGCGUGGGGAUCAAACAGG